UACAGCUGAUGGGUUCCGAGAAUGGUGACACCAUGACAUUCUUUUACCGUGGUAAACCAUGACACUGGUAACCGGCACAUGCCUACUGGAGAGGACAGCAGGCAGGGAGAGAGGAGAAAGAGGAAGAGAGAAGAAGUGAGAGGAGAAAAGGAGGCUGAAGCUCCAGAGAGAGAAGAGGAGGAGGCUGUAGUUCCAGAGAAAGGAGAGGAAAAGGCUGCAGCUCCAGAGAUAGGAGAGGAGGAGGGUGCAGCUCCAGAGAGAAGUGAAAAGGGAGCUGCAGCUCCAGAGAUAGGAGAGGAGGAGGCUGCAGCUCUAGAGAGAAGUGAAAAGGGGGCUGCAGCUGCAAUGGUACAGUAGGAAUCAUCACUAGGAUAUCAUGUGGUGUGAAUGCGCUUUCUUAAUGUCAGAUGCAGAACUGGAAACGGCAAUCCUAUCAUCAAUAGAUGAGACAGGUCCAAGUUAUGGACGAAAAUUCAUGACCGGAUACCUGUCAUCAGUGGGAGUUAGGGCAGGUGAACCUCGAGUGGGAAGGAUUCUUAGAGAGGUGCACAAGCCAUAUAAUGAGCUGCAUCGCCAGGGAGCACAUAAUCUAAAUCCAGUUCCUUACCAUACGGAAUACAUGGGCCACAAACUCCACCUAGACCAGAAUGACAAGCUGGGAAUGUUUGGAGUGACACAUGUCUUGGCUAUUGAUGGUUUCAGCAGCAAAAUUGUUGCUGAAUCCACAAUGCCAGUGAAGAACAACCUUAUUAUUUAUGAGGAAGUUUACAGAUAAGUACAGUCAAGGUUAGAAAUAAAGUAUAAUAAGCACUACAUAGGGUUAUUGUACUGUGUGUACUACAUGCAUUUGAAUAUGAAAUAAAUAACUAAACAAGGGAUUGUAUCACCUAGUCCUAAACAGAACUGAACUGAAUUUAUCAUAUCAACAUAUAAAUAUAUAUAUAUCCAUAUAAUUUACACAUUUGUCUAUUACAGGAAAGCAGUUGCCAACAAUGGAAUGUGGGACAAAAUCAGAGUGGAUCAUGGCAGGGAGUUUUAUUUGACCCUGUACAUGCAAGAAAAGCUGUCUCAACACAGACAUAAUGUCAACAGGCUACCUUAUGUGCAGACAACUUCUUCAAGGGUGAAUUUUGUCCUAUUGAUUACAUAUAAAGAUAAUAAGUAUUUUCAUUUCAUUUCAUUUGUUUAUGAAACAAGGACCAUGCACAAAUACAUUAAUCUCAAAUGAGAAGAGAUGAUGUAUGCCAGAUUUAGCUAUGAGCAUGUUUACAUCUGCAGUCCCUGGGCAGAUACAGAUUUUUUAAAAAGUACUGUAGUUAGUUGAUAUGUUUAAUGUUGACAUGAUUAGUGUUGACCUUUCAAAAUUAAGCAAAAUGUAUUUCCAAUAAAAAAUAUUUUUAUUUACAAACCCAAAUCAGAAAAAAGUUGGCAGAGUGUAUAAAAUGCAGGGUACUGAGUAGGUGACACUGGCAAUAAAUUAAGCAAAAUGUAUUUCCAAAUUAAGCAAAAUGUAUUUCCAGUAAAAAAUAUUUUUAUUUGCAAACCCAAAUCAGAAAAAAGUUGUACGAGUGUGUAAAAUGCAGGGUACUGAGUAGGUGACACUGACAAUAAACAAGGAGAGAAGAGAUCAUCAAAGUGUAACAUAAAAAGGAAAAAGCAACAAGGCUGUCUUUUGGAUUUUUCCAAAAGAGAAGGCUAAGCACGAAGCCUAUUCAGCACAGCAGGCAUGAUAAAGAUUUGAUUCCAGGUGAUGUUAACUCGUACAAUCUGCUGUUUACCCAUUACUUCAUUAUUCUGUGUUUCACCUCAUUACUUGUCCUAAAUUAUCCCGUCUGUCCCAACAUCUUGGGAUGAGGUGCACGCUUGAAUGGCAGGAAUUGAUAGAUAUUUACACAUCAAUUGAAGCUCAAAUAUUUGGACUUCACAUUGUUUACAACAAAAUGAAAGAUCAAAGGACAUUUACAAAUCACUACUGUCUGCUACCUGUGUUUUACAUACCAGAGCAACUUUUUCUCAAUCUUAAGUGUUUUCAAACAGUCUUUGAAAGUUUUUCUUGUGUUUAAACAGAACCUAAGCAAAGAAAGUUCGCUCCUUGGUAUAACUCUCAAACCCGUAAGUUAAAACAAAUAUCGCGAAAAUUUGAAAGGAAUUGGCGAUUAACCAAACUGGACGAAUCUCGUUUAAUAUGGACAGACAGUCUCAAAACGUAUAAGAGGGGCCUCCGCAAUGCCAGAGCAAACUAUUACUCAGCAUUAAUAGAAGACAAUAAGAACAACCCCAGGUUUCUUUUCAGCACUGUAGCCAGGGUGACUGAGAGUCAAAACUCUUUUGAGCCUUGUAUUCCUUUAGCCCUUAGCAGUAAUGAUUUUAUGAGCUUUUUUAACAACAAAAUUCUAACUAUUAGAGGCAAUAUUCAUGACCUCCUGUCCUCAGAUAGCACCUAUCUAACCUCAAACACAGCUGUAAGACCUAAUAUAUAUUUAGAUUGCUUCUCUCCAAUUUCUCUUCAAGAAUUGACCGCAGUGAUUUCUUCAUCUAAAUCAUCAACGUGUCUCUUAGACCCCAUCCCAACUAGGCUACUUAAGGAGGUCUUUCCUUUAGUUAACACUCAUAUAUUAGAUAUGAUCAAUAUAUCCUUAUUAACAGGCUAUGUACCACAGUCUUUUAAGGUAGGUGUAAUUAAACCUCUACUAAAAAAGCCCACCCUCGAUCCAGAGGUGUUAGCCAACUACAGACCAAUAUCUAAUCUUCCCUUUAUGUCAAAGAUCCUUGAGAAAGUAGUCGCAGACCAGCUGUGUGAUUUUCUCCAUGAUAAUAAUUUAUCUGAGGAAUUUCAGUCAGGAUUUAUAGUGCAUCAUAGCACUGAGACAGCACUAGUCAAAAUUACAAAUGACCUACUCAUUGCUUCAGACAAAGGACUUGUCUCUGUACUUGUUUUAUUAGAUCUUAGUGCAGCGUUUGACACAAUUGACCAUCAAAUUCUACUGCUGAGACUGGAACACUUAAUUGGCCUAAAAGAUUCUGCACUGAGCUGGUUUAAAUCUUAUUUAUCUGAUCGUUUUCAGUUUGUUGACGUUCAUAAUGAAUCAUCCUCACGUACCAAAGUUUGUUUUGGAGUUCCAUGAGUUCUGUGCUCGGACCAAUCCUAUUUACUCUAUAUAUGCUUCCUUUAGGUAACAUCAUUAGAAAUCACUCUAUAAAUUUCCAUUGUUAUGCGGAUGAUACUCAGUUGUAUUUAUCGAUGAAGCCAGAAGAAACUAAUCAAUUAACUAAACUCCAUAACUGCCUUAAAGACAUAAAAACUUGGAUGAGCACCAAUUUCCUGAUGUUAAAUUCAGACAAAACUGAAGUUAUUGUUCUUGGCCCCAAACAACUCAGAGACUCUUUAUCUGAUGACAUAGUUUCUCUAGAUGGCAUUGCUCUGGCCUCUAGCACUACCGUAAGAAACCUCGGAGUGAUAUUUGAUCAAGAUUUGUCUUUUAAUUCUCAUUUAAAACAAACCUCACGGACUGCAUUUUUUCAUCUGCGUAAUAUUGCGAAAAUUAGGCCUAUCCUGACCCGAAAAGAUGCAGGAAAAAUUGGUCCACGCUUUUGUUACCUCUAGGCUAGAUUACUGUAACUCUCUAUUGUCAGGUGGCUCUAGUAAGUCCUUAAAAACUCUCCAGCUAAUUCAGAAUGCAGCAGCACGUGUACUAACAGGAACUAAGAAACAACAUCAUAUUUCUCCUGUUUUAGCUUCUCUGCACUGGCUCCCUGUAAAAUCCAGAAUUGAAUUUAAAAUCCUACUGUUAACUUAUAAAGCUCUAAAUGGUCAAGCUCCAUCAUAUCUUAGAGAGCUCAUAAUGUCAUAUUAUCCCACCAGAACACUGCGCUCUGAGAACGCAGGGUUACUCAUGGUCCCUAAAGUCUCCAAAAGUAGAUCAGGAGCCAGAGCCUUCAGCUAUCAGGCUCCUCUCCUGUGGAAUCAUCUUCCUGUUACGGUGCGGGAGGCAGACACCGUCUUCACAUUUAAGACUAGACUUAAGACUUUCCUCUUUGAUAAAGCUUAUAGUUAGGGCUGGCUCAGGCUUGCCCUGUACCAGCCCCUAGUUAGGCUGACUUAGGCCUAGUCUGCCGGAGGACCCCCCUAUAAUACACCAGGCACAUUCUCUCCUUCUCUCUCUCUCUCUCUCUCUCUCUCUCUCUCUCUUGUAUUCUAUUACUGCAUCUUGCUAACUCGGCCAUUCUGGAUGUCACUAACUCGGCUUCUUCGCCGGAGCCUUUGUGCUCCACUGUCUCUCAGAUUAACUCAUAUUGCAACGGUGCCUGGACAGCGUGAUGUGUGUGGUUGUGCUGCUGCUGUGGUCCUGCCUCCUGCUGCUGCUGCCAUCAUUAGUCAUUAGUCAUACUUCUACUGUUAUUAUACACAUAUGACUAUUGUCACACAUGUAUACUGCCAGAUAUUAAUACAUACUUUCAACAUAUUGUACCACAGUAGCCAGAACUAUAACUAUAAUAUUAUUACUUUCAACAAUGUUGUUGUAAGCUACUGUCAUUACCUGCAUCUCUCUCUCUCUCUCUCUCUCUCUCUCUCUCUCUCUCUCUGUCUCAUUGUGUCACGUGGAUUACUGUUAAUUUGUUAUGCUGAUCUGUUCUGUACGACAUCUAUUGCACGUCUGUCCGUCCUGGAAGAGGGAUCCCUCCUCAGUUGCUCUUCCUGAGGUUUCUACCGUUUUUUUCCCCCGUUAAAGGGUUUUUUUUGGGGGAGUUUUUCCUUAUCCGCUGCGAGGGUCAUAAGGACAGAGGGAUGUCGUAUACUGUAAAGCCCUGUGAGGCAAAUUGUGAUUUGUGAUAUUGGGCUUUAUAAAUAAAAUUGAAUUGAAUUGAAUUGAAUUGAACCUGAGAGUUGAAAGAAUUUGGCCAGAGGUCAACAAUCGGGUAAACUACCCACUAAAACAGGCCCUGGUCCACCUCCACCAGGAGUUACUCGACAUGCAGGAUAAUCUCACCAAAUUUUGUGUCUCCAACCUGGCAUGUCAAGUGAGUCAGAUAGGACUUGGCAGAGUUGUGCAGUCCUGGAAUGAUCAUAGGAUACCAGGUAAGUUGUGAUAAUAUUGGUAUGUAUGUAGUUUUAAAACAAGUGACAAAAUUUUGUCCAAAACUACUGAAAAAAGUGCUUUUUAAGCUUUUACAUUACACACUGUUACAUUAUAAAACACAAUUCCCUGAACUGGUAUUUGUAUCAUAGGUACCAAGUGCAAAAUCUCAUAAAACCUAUACUGAGUGCCAUAAUAACUUGUAACAUGACAGUACUGAAAAAAAUGCUUUAAGCUUUAACAUUAGACAUUGUUACAAAACUCAAUACUCAAUACUUAUAAAACUUGAUACUGAACUAUAUGAACAAACAUUUGUUGCCACUGUAACAGAUAGAAAUUAUGGCAGGAAUAUCUUCUCCAGUGCUGCCAGUGCCUCAGAGAGUCCAGCCACUUCGUGGAUGCUGCCCUCCAAAUCCACAGCACGACACUUUGGGCAGUGACUGCAUCUGCUGUUCCACUCCAUAAUACAUGAUUUACACCCGAUAAGGCUUCUGCAGCAGGUUGAGAACACUGGCUUAUCUACAGGACCUGUAGAUAAAAAAAAACAUUGUCAUUUAUUUUCAUUGGGUUAGAAGAGGGGAAGAAGGAAGCAAGGAAAGGAGGGAGGAAGAAAGGAAGGAACUAGGGGAUGAAGGGAGCAAGGAAGGAGUGAGGAAAGAAGGAGGAGAGGGAUUAAGGAAAGGAGUAAAGAAAGAGGGAAGGAGGGGAAGAAGGAAGGGAA